CGGGGUUCCAGCCCGCCCGCUCGCAGGGAGCGCGCUCAGCCUGAGGCGGGCGGUCAGUGCCUUAGAUGGUACAAACCGCUCCAUAUCCCGCCCCGCCUGCGUUUGUUCCACGCCCUAGCGGCCAGGGGCCGCCCACGGUUUGGCCUCUUUUGCUUUCGAUGGGAAAACACAAAGGACUACAAAACACAGACUUCUCUGUUAUAUGAAGAUUGUGAGAUGAGGGUGUACAUACUGAAGGAGCCAUAACUAGAGGAAGCCCUGCCAGCUGAUUCCUGUGGCUUUCCUCUAUUGUUGGUGUCGCAAUUUCCUGAUGAGGCUCAGUAUACAAAUAGACAUGCAUUGUGAGAUGGACAAUAUCCACUACACAGUGACCAGAAAGGAGAUAAACAUCUGUACCACCUGAUUGAAAGGAACAUUCCUGAGGAGAGAUUGGCUACAGCUCUGCUUCUGAAAUCAGCAGCCCUUUCCCUCAGGCCUGACAGGAAAACUGACAGUGAAUGUUAUAUUCUACUCAUCAUUUUCACCCUGCAGCUCUCUAAGAACUUGAAAGACCUCUGUGCAUACAGGUGGCCUCAGUUAAUUUCUUUUUCAGCUGCUGGUGACUGAGCAGGAGACCCACUGUGUGUGGCUAUCACACAGAAUGGAAUAAUGGAAAUGAAAGUAAGUUGAUGCACUGGACCAUUAAAGUGUGCCAAGUAUGUAUGUAAUACUGAUUUAUUCGCUCCUGUAAACAGUGUAAUAUUUUCUAUGUCUCGUUUCCUAUGCAACACC